GGCAAGUCCCUUGUGACCGGGAGGAGGUCGACCUUAAAGGAGCUGGCAUUGUAGCUCUUCUAAAGCCUAGUCUACUUAGGAAGGCAAAAGCGAAGCAGCAAGAAGUGGCCACAGAAGCCGUGUGGUCCCUAGAAGUAGAAGGGUAAGGAGGGUGCAGGAGAUGGUCCUACUUGUGGCCGCAACGGGGCUCAGAAGUCCGCUUGUUAGAGAUGGCAGUGACCUGUGACAAUCCAGUCUGCCCGACACGCCUCCCGCCUCCUUAGAAACGGGAAGGAGCCCCGGCCCAGUGCACUGACGUAGUUAGCCUAAGAUCACGUAGCUGGUUGGUCACAGAAUCAUGACUUUAAUUCAUGUCUUCUGACUCUGACCUGGCACGCUUUGUACCUCACCAAAGACAGUGAUGAAACUGCAAAAGGGCAGAGUGGAGAAGACUGGAAUGUUCAGCCAAGGCAUUUGAACUUUUAAUGCUGCAAGUCAAGACUUCCCGAAGAUUUUUGAGCAGAUGAGUGAAGUGAUAAGAAAAUGCAUCUUCAGCAGUGACAGCAUCAACGAUGAGGAGACUGGCCGGGAGGCUAUUACCCGCAUCAAAACCAGUGAACAUUAAAAAAAAUUUUUUUUUUUAGAGAGAGGGUCUUGCUCUUUUGCCCAGGCUGGAGUGCAGUGGCUUGACCAUAGUUGACUAUAACCUUGAAUUCCUGCGUUCAAGCGAUCUUCCUUCCUCAGCUUCCGGAGUAGCUGGGACUACAGAUGCGUGCCACCAUGCCAGGCCAAUUUUUAAUUUUGUUUUGUAAAGAUGGGGUUUCUGUGUUGCCCAGGUAGGACAAAGAGGAAUGACAAAAGGCAUGUAACCACCUGAAUUUGCCCGUAUCAAAGAGCUCUCCAGGAAGCACCACCAAGGAAUUUUCACUGACAUUUCCCAGGCCAGACCAUGCUGCUGCUAAGCAAAAUGAGGAU
rnacentral:lncRNA from 1 species